CAAACCCUAAGAUAGAGAGAGAAACCUAGACAGAGAAAGAGAGUGGGAGAAUGGGGAAGGGGCCGUUCUCGUUUCGCCGGACCUCCAGUCGCCGCCGCCUCAAGAAGGCGCCAGAGGGCCCCUCUCCCCCGGCGCCUCCGCCUCCGAUGAUGAUCGAGGCAUCCUUGUCGCCCAAUAAUCAGACCGCGAACACCUCGAUCGCCGCCGCGUCUGGCGGUGGUGGUGGAGCAGGGGGAAAGGCGAAAAAGAAGACCGGUGGAGCAAGGUUGUGGAUGCGGUUCGACCGGUGCGGGCAGUCGGAGUUGCUGGAAUGUGAUAAGAGCACGAUCAUCAGGCGGGC
rnacentral:lncRNA from 1 species